AUAUUAAUUUUCCAUAGAAAAAAUAUCAGAUUAAAAAUGUUGCGUUAAAAAAUUCCAUCCGGUUUUGGGUGGAAUCAGACGCUCGAAAAUAAUCGAGGAUUAAAAUAAAUUUCCGGUUGAAGUAUCUAUGAUGUCGGUGACCACCCCUGACCCACUUGUAGUGACUAUUUAUCUCAAUUUCUGCAUCCAUUGCAACUUGUUGCGACCAUAGCCGCCUAAAUUGUGUCACAUUACAUUUAUAACAAAUAACUCGGCUAAACAAGUCAAUAUAUAUGUAUCUUCUCGGCUCAUCACUCGGUAUCCGAUUCCCGAGAGAUAUCAUAGCCGCUACGAUCAACAUUUUGUUAAGUAUUACUUAUUUUACAUAUAAAAGUAAGUACU